rnacentral:rRNA from 1 species
GGCUCUUUGAUAACAAAGAUAAAGAGUUUGACCUGCCCGGUGAUAAAUUAAACGGCCGCAGUAUCCUGACUGUGCGAAGGUAGCAUAAUAACUUGUCUUAUAAUUAAAGAAUGGAAUGAAUGGUUUGACUAGGGUAUAACUGUCUCUUAUAUAUUUUCUAAAAGUUAAUUUUUAAGUUAAAAAGCUUAAAUUUAAUUAAAAGACGAGAAGACCCUAUUGAGCUUAAUAAAGAAUAUGGCUAGUUAUAAUUAUAAUAUAAAUAAAAAUUAGUGUUGAAAUUUUGGUUGGGGCGACUGAGGAAUAAAAAAAGCUUCCUUAAUAAAUUAAGAAAGAUAUUUUUAGAGCCAAAGAAAUUUUGAAUUGAGAACAAGUUACCAUAGGGAUAACAGCGUUAUUUUUUUUGAGAGUUCUAAUCGAAAAAAAAGUUUGCGACCUCGAUGUUGGAUUAGGAAUAAGAUAAAGGUUGCAGAAGCUUUAUAUAUUUAGUCUGUUCGACUAUUAAUCUCCU